rnacentral:miRNA from 1 species
CCCAGGGGAGCCUGGGGGCACCAGGUUGCUGAAGGAGGGGAGACCCAGCCCAGGCCAG